GAUGAACGCUGGCGGCGUGCCUAAUACAUGCAAGUCGAGCGAAGCGGGGACGGGUGAGUAAUACGUGGAUAACCUCCUAUAAGACUGGGAUAACUUCGGGAAACCGGAGCUAAACCGGAUACUUACAGACUGAGCCGCGCCGCAUGAGCCAGUUGGUAGGGUAACGGCCGACCAAGGCGACGAUGCGUAGCCGACCUGAGAGGGUGAUCAGCCAGACUGGAACUGAGACACGGUCCAGACUCCUACGGGAGGCAGCAGUGGGGAAUCUUCCGCAAUGGGCGAAAGCCUGACGGAGCAACGCCGCGUGAGUGAUGAAGGUCUUAGGAUCGUAAAACUCUUUUAGUAGGGAAGCGGUACCGAAUCAGAAAGCCACGGCUAACUACGUGCCAGCAGCCGCGGUAAUUC
rnacentral:rRNA from 1 species